UACGUAGGGUGCGAGCGUUGUCCGGAAUUACUGGGCGUAAAGGGCUCGUAGGUGGUUUGUCGCGUUGUUCGUGAAAACUCACAGCUCAACUGUGGGCGUGCGGGCGAUACGGGCAGACUGGAGUACUGCAGGGGAGACUGGAAUUCCUGGUGUAGCGGUGGAAUGCGCAGAUAUCAGGAGGAACACCGGUGGCGAAGGCGGGUCUCUGGGCAGUAACUGACGCUGAGGAGCGAAAGCGUGGGGAGCGAACAGG
rnacentral:rRNA from 1 species